rnacentral:rRNA from 2 species
AGACCCGAAACCCGGUGAUCUAGCCAUGGGCAGGUUGAAGGUUGGGUAACACUAACUGGAGGACCGAACCGACUAAUGUUGAAAAAUUAGCGGAUGACCUGUGGCUGGGGGUGAAAGGCCAAUCAAACCGGGAGAUAGCUGGUUCUCCCCGAAAGCUAUUUAGGUAGCGCCUCGUGAAUUCAUCUCCGGGGGUAGAGCACUGUUUCGGCUAGGGGGCCAUCCCGGCUUACCAACCCGAUGCAAACUGCGAAUACCGGAGAAUGUUAUCACGGGAGACACACGGCGGGUGCUAACGUCCGUCGUGAAGAGGGAAACAACCCAGACCGCCAGCUAAGGUCCCAAAGUCAUGGUUAAGUGGGAAACGAUGUGGGAAGGCCCAGACAGCCAGGAUGUUGGCUUAGAAGCAGCCAUCAUUUAAAGAAAGCGUAAUAGCUCACUGGUCGAGUCGGCCUGCGCGGAAGAUGUAACGGGGCUAAACCAUGCACCGAAGCUGCGGCAGCGACACUCAGGUGUUGUUGGGUAGGGGAGCGUUCUGUAAGCCUGUGAAGGUGUGUCGUGAGGCAUGCUGGAGGUAUCAGAAGUGCGAAUGCUGACAUAAGUAACGAUAAAGCGGGUGAAAAGCCCGCUCGCCGGAAGACCAAGGGUUCCUGUCCAACGUUAAUCGGGGCAGGGUGAGUCGACCCCUAAGGCGAGGCCGAAAGGCGUAGUCGAUGGGAAACGGGUUAAUAUUCCCGUACUUGGUGUUACUGCGAAGGGGGGACGGAGAAGGCUAUGUUGGCCGGGCGACGGUUGUCCCGGUUUAAGCGUGUAGGUGUGUGUUCCAGGUAAAUCCGGUUCACUUUAACACUGAGGCGUGAUGACGAGGCACUACGGUGCUGAAGCAACAAAUGCCCUGCUUCCAGGAAAAGCCUCUAAGCAUCAGGUAACAUCAAAUCGUACCCCAAACCGACACAGGUGGUCAGGUAGAGAAUACCAAGGCGCUUGAGAGAACUCGGGUGAAGGAACUAGGCAAAAUGGUGCCGUAACUUCGGGAGAAGGCACGCUGACACGUAGGUGAAGUGAUUUACUCAUGGAGCUGAAGUCAGUCGAAGAUACCAGCUGGCUGCAACUGUUUAUUAAAAACACAGCACUGUGCAAACACGAAAGUGGACGUAUACGGUGUGACGCCUGCCCGGUGCCGGAAGGUUAAUUGAUGGGGUCAGCGCAAGCGAAGCUCCUGAUCGAAGCCCCGGUAAACGGCGGCCGUAACUAUAACGGUCCUAAGGUAGCGAAAUUCCUUGUCGGGUAAGUUCCGACCUGCACGAAUGGCGUAAUGAUGGCCAGGCUGUCUCCACCCGAGACUCAGUGAAAUUGAACUCGCUGUGAAGAUGCAGUGUACCCGCGGCAAGACGGAAAGACCCCGUGAACCUUUACUAUAGCUUGACACUGAACAUUGAGCCUUGAUGUGUAGGAUAGGUGGGAGGCUUUGAAGCGUGGACGCCAGUCUGCGUGGAGCCGACCUUGAAAUACCACCCUUUAAUGUUUGAUGUUCUAACGUGGACCCGU